rnacentral:rRNA from 1 species
UACGUAGGGUGCAAGCGUUAAUCGGAAUUACUGGGCGUAAAGCGUGCGCAGGCGGUUAUGUAAGACAGGGGUGAAAUCCCCGGGCUUAACCUGGGAACUGCAUUUGUGACUGCAUAGCUAGAGUACGGUAGAGGGGGAUGGAAUUCCGCGUGUAGCAGUGAAAUGCGUAGAUAUGCGGAGGAACACCGAUGGCGAAGGCAAUCCCCUGGACCUGUACUGACGCUCAUGCACGAAAGCGUGGGGAGCAAACAGG